GCCAUUACUGCUUCAGCCACAGACUGAUACCUUUUCUGAUGUGCUUCCUUCUCAGAAUCCUGUGCCAGUGUCAAGGGUAUUACAAGCAAUUUUGACCUUCAUUUCAGUUACGGCUUAAGAAUCUACUUACUAGACAACAAAAACCAUGAAGACUGAAUACAAACCUCCCAUCAUGGUAUAUCUAUGAUUCUGUAUAAUGUCCAGCACAAAUGUGUAUAACAAAGCAUCUACCAAGAUAUGGAAAGAUAAAGGCCUUUUCACUGAAG